rnacentral:rRNA from 1 species
AUUGAACGCUGGCGGCAUGCCUUACACAUGCAAGUCGAACGGUAACAGGUCUUCGGAUGCUGACGAGUGGCGAACGGGAGAGUAAUACAUCGGAACGUGCCUAGUAGUGGGGGAUAACUACUCGAAAGAGUGGCUAAUACCGCAUGAGAUCUACGGAUGAAAGCAGGGGAUCGCAAGACCUUGUGCUACUAGAGCGGCCGAUGGCAGAUUAGGUAGUUGGUGGGAUAAAAGCUUACCAAGCCGACGAUCUGUAGCUGGUCUGAGAGGACGAUCAGCCACACUGGGACUGAGACACGGCCCAGACUCCUACGGGAGGCAGCAGUGGGGAAUUUUGGACAAUGGGCGCAAGCCUGAGCCAGCAAUGCCGCGUGCAGGAUGAAGGCCUUCGGGUUGUAAACUGCUUUUGUACGGAACGAAAAGCCCCGGGUUAAUACCCUGGGGUCAUGACGGUACCGUAAGAAUAAGCACCGGCUAACUACGUGCCAGCCGCCGCAGUAA